CCCAGUCUCGCCAUCUCCUACUUCCCUAUUCUUAGAGUUGAUCCUCCAAAGAACAUAAACUUCCUCACACAAUGCUGCUGGAUCUGCUUCUGGAGAUCAUACCUUCGUCUUCUGAGAGUCUCACAAGUAGAGAGAGACCACGACCAUCCAGGGGCCAGGCCUUUUAAAACCCAGAAAAGUAGGCUGAGACUCAGACACAAAGGAGGAGAGGGAAAAAUAUUCAAGAGCUUUUGGGCUCUCAUCAAAUACCUCCCAUCUUUCUGAACUCUUUCAGCUUGGAUUAUUGACUUUCCAGAAAAGGCCUAGCUGAGGGAGUUAACGGCUCUCAUACGCACGGGGAAGAUUACCUUUUUCUGAUGGAUGCCAAAUGCGAGACAGUUGUGCUUCCGGAGCUCAGUCUGGGCAUCUGUUUCCUGAUGCACAAGCUUUCCAAGGAAGAAUGGGUCCUUCACGGAGGGCUCAGCUGAUAAGAAUCAGAAGUUAUUUUCCCUACGGGAAGGCACCAUUGCCGUGAGUCCAGGAUGAGCUCACAGCACAGUUGAGAGACUCCCCAUGGUUUAUGCAGCUUAACACGGAUUCUGGGAGCAGUAACGCUAGGCCCUGGGUGCAUCUGCUCAAGAACAAAUGCCAGUGGCCUCAGGCAAUGAGAUCAUCUCCAGAGCCAGCUGCAUUGACAAGAUGGUUUGUCACACAUUAUAGAUUCCUCAGAGCACAGAGACUGUGAGAGAAGAGAGUGCAGCCAUUCUAGCAGAGAGGGGGAGAUGGGGGAGGUUGUCGGAAGAGUGGAGCCCCCACACCAGGCACACAAGCAGCUUCCCUCCUCUCCGAUCUGUGACCUCUGAUGAGCCUCUUGGGUGUUUGCUUUCUUCUGGUCAGUCUUGUGUGCUGGGCUCCUUCCCGAAGAACACAGCUCAGCUGCAGACCUGGGAGGCGGUGGGGGAGUGUUCUAUCCAGAAUCGUCGGCAUCUUUAGCUGGUCAGGAACAGGGGUAUGUUCUCUGGUCUUUUUCUACAGCUGUGCCUUCCAAAGUGGAAAAUAAGCAGAAAAAAAUAAAUCUAUUUAAGCUAA